GGCCUGAUGGUCUAGAGGUAGUAAGUUACGUUCUCUCGCUUCGCAAAUCUCACAAUUAACAUUCCUAUAGGGAUUUAUGUUUCGGGAGAAAUCCCUAUUCUUUCAAAGAACAUACGUAAGGUCCCGGGUUCGAUCCCCGGUCAGGCCC
rnacentral:tRNA from 1 species